rnacentral:lncRNA from 1 species
CACAAUUUGGAUCAGAGCUCAGAGGAGAGGUCAGAGCUGGAGGGUUCAAGAACUUGUUAAUUUACCCAAGUUGGCCUUGAAUUUGCUGCCAUCCUGCCUUAGCCUCCAGGAGUGCUGAGAUUACAGCCCCUAGAUCACAUCUGAGCCAAUUAGAUGAUUUGUGGAGACACCCUAGAUGGCUUCUGGAAGGGGACUGGUCACCAGAAUGACUGAGCAUGUUAUCAGAGGGUUGGAAUUUUGAGCCAAUGUAACAUCUAUGAAGGGAUGGGGAGUAGAGAUUGGGUUCAAACAUGUGGCCAGUGAUUUCAUCAAGCAUGGCUACCUAAUGAGACACUAAUAAAAUCUCUAAACACCAAAGUGUAGUGGAACUUCCUGGUUGGUGGACGCACUGAAAUGCCUGGUUGUCUAUGCGGCCUGAUUUGAUGAGGAGGCCACACAGAACCUCUGCACUGAGG